rnacentral:rRNA from 1 species
GCAAGUCGUGCGAGAAAGCAGUCUUCGGAUUGUGAGUAGAGCGGCGAACGGGUGAGUAACACGUAAGCAACCUGCCUCUAAAUCUGGGAUAACCUUGCUAACGCGGGGCUAAUACCGGAUGUGGUCCAAGGAUCUCAUGUUUCUUGGAUUAAAGGUGACCUCUUCUUGAAAGUUACUGUUUAGGGAUGGGCUUGCGGACCAUUAGCUUGUUGGUGGGGUAACGGCCUACCAAGGCGACGAUGGUUAGCCGACCUGAGAGGGUGAUC